rnacentral:lncRNA from 1 species
UUAAUUCAAGGCUCACUUGUCACUUGCGACUUAGCCAAUAUACAUGCCCUAUUUUACGGUAACAGAACUCUCCCUUUCUCUCAUUUGAUUCUUGCCUGGACAGGGACUCAUAUCAUUAAAAAGGAACAAAGAGGCCCUAACCAAACCUCAAAGAGAAGGAAAAGGACAUUUUUCUAAAUGGAAGAAUUCUUUCGUAAGAAACGAUGAAGAGUUAGAACAAGCAUCUGCAUAGCCUGGGAAGGGCCACUCUCUCCCAAGGCAUGCUGCCGCUUGCCUCUGAUGUCUGGACGCACCUUGUGAUAGAAAGUCACAUAGCACUAGAUACUGACCAUUUGCAUUCCCAUUGUUUCUGUAGAUAGGAUUUCUG